rnacentral:rRNA from 1 species
GACAGAGGAUGCAAGCGUUAUCCGGAAUGAUUGGGCGUAAAGCGUCUGUAGGUGGCUUUUAAGUCCGCCGUCAAAUCCCAGGGCUCAACCCUGGACAGGCGGUGGAAACUACCAAGCUGGAGUACGGUAGGGCAGAGGGAAUUCCGGUGGAGCGGUGAAAUGCGUAGAGAUCGGAAGAACACCAACGGCGAAGCACUCUGCUGGGCCGACACUGACACUGAGAGACGAAAGCUAGGGAGCGAAUGGG